rnacentral:snoRNA from 1 species
AUCAACGAUGAUGAGCUCUACAGACCUGUAAUGACUUGCGAAAAUGAUCGCAAUUCUUAAUGAACAUCUAAGGGACUGAGUUGUU